GGCGUGCCUAAUACAUGCAAGUCGAACGCACUGACGUCGACAGAAGGUGCUUGCACUGGAAGUUGAUUGACGUGAGUGGCGGACGGGUGAGUAACACGUGGGUAACCUGCCCUUAAGCGGGGGAUAACAUUUGGAAACAGAUGCUAAUACCGCAUAAAAGUUGAGAUCACAUGGUCUUAAUUUGAAAGACGGCCUUUGGCUGUCACUUAAGGAUGGACCCGCGGCGUAUUAGCUAGUUGGUGAGAUAAUAGCCCACCAAGGCGAUGAUACGUAGCCGACCUGAGAGGGUAAUCAGCCACAUUGGGACUGAGACACGGCCCAAACUCCUACGGGAGGCAGCAGUAGGGAAUCUUCCACAAUGGACGAAAGUCUGAUGGAGCAACGCCGCGUGAGUGAAGAAGGUUUUCGGAUCGUAAAACUCUGUUGUUGGAGAAGAACAGGGACUAGAGUAACUGUUAGUCCUUUUGACGGUAUCCAACCAGAAAGCCACGGCUAACUACGUGCCAGCAGCCGCGGUAAUACGUAGGUGGCAAGCGUUGUCCGGAUUUAUUGGGCGUAAAGCGAGCGCAGGCGGUUUCUUAAGUCUGACGUGAAGGCCUUCGGCUUAACCGAAGAAGUGCAUCAGAUACUGGGAAACUUGAGUGCAGAAGAGGAAAGUGGAACUCCAUGUGUAGCGGUGAAAUGCGUAGAUAUAUGGAAGAACACCAGUGGCGAAGGCGGCUUUCUGGUCUGUAACUGACGCUGAGGCUCGAAAGUAUGGGGAGCGAACAGGAUUAGAUACCCUGGUAGUCCAUACCGUAAACGAUGAAUGCUAAGUGUUGGAGGGUUUCCGCCCUUCAGUGCUGCAGCUAACGCAUUAAGCAUUCCGCCUGGGGAGUACGACCGCAAGGUUGAAACUCAAAGGAAUUGACGGGGGCCCGCACAAGCGGUGGAGCAUGUGGUUUAAUUCGAAGCUACGCGAAGAACCUUACCAGGUCUUGACAUCUAGCGCCAAUCCUAGAGAUAGGACGUUCCCUUCGGGGACGCUAAGACAGGUGGUGCAUGGUUGUCGUCAGCUCGUGUCGCGAGAUGUUGGGUUAAGUCCCGCAACGAGCGCAACCCUUAUGAUUAGUUGCCAGCAUUUAGUUGGGCACUCUAAUCAGACUGCCGGUGACAAACCGGAGGAAGGUGGG
rnacentral:rRNA from 1 species